rnacentral:lncRNA from 10 species
UGAAAAUGUUUUAAUCUAUGUCUCGUGAAGUUAAUCAAAAAUUGGUAUAAGAUUCUUUUUUAUAUUUUUGAACAUUAAAAACAAUGGAUGCAUGGUACCCCGCAAUAUAGAGACUGACAGCACUUGUAAAAUGCAGUAAAUAUCACUGAGACAAAUAAUAAGAAUGUCAGAGGGAAGAAGAAAUGAAGCCAAGUGCUAAUAAGUACAAUAUAGCUUAAAUUAAAAGAUUAACAGGAGAAAAUUUUCAAAUGAUAAUUUUCUAGGAAAAGGAGAUAACUCAGUUUUUGUCAGGUUAAUUUACAAAGUGAUGGGCUUGAGUGAAAAAAAAUACCAAAUUCAAGGGGCAGAAAAACCCAGUGAUUAAGUCCACAAAUCCUAGGUUAAAAACACCUGGGCUGUAAUUCUAGAUCUGCUACCUAUUUAUCAGAAGUGUAACCUUGAACAGCACACUCAACUCCUCUUAACCUCAUUUUUCUGUACAAUAGAAAUGACAAUAAUAGUACCCCAUAGACUUAAAGAAUCAAAAGUGUAUGUGCAUGCCUGUGUGUGGCUGGGAGCGUGGAAGAGCAUCUGGAGAAAGAGCACUCAGAAUAGCAUUUGGUCCAAAGUAGCUAUUAUGGUCGAAUGUAACAGUUUACUGUUAUUAGAACUAGGGUAAUAUUCUACAUAAUUAUACUUUCUCUUAUGUCUUAUUAUAUAAAGGUGCAUCAUUUCUUGGCACUACUCUAUUACAGUGUCUGCACAGUUUGGAGUAACCUUCCUGGAAAAUACAUAUUUAUGUAACAUAUGAAUUCCUCAUCCCAUGUUUUACUAAAUGAGUGAGCCCUUUUCCAGAAAUGUAAAAUUGAUAGGAUUGCUUCUGGGGUUUACUUGAGCUGAACACAAGUACACUCAGAAGCAGAGGCUAAAACAUACAGCAGGUCCUUGGUCAUUUUGUUUAACGUUAUUUUGUUAUAACACUGAUGGAAAAAAUCGAUUUCCAGCAGAGGCCAAUGUCUAUGUGGAAUUGGCACGUUCUUUCCAUGUCUAUGUGGGUCUUCUCUGGGUACUCCCGUUUCCCUCCACUUCUCAACUCUCUGUGUGUUGGGUGAAUUGGCAUGUCUACAUAGGCCCUGCUUGAGUGAUUGUGGUUGGGUAUGUGAGCGCGCCCUGCGGUAGGAUGGCUUCCUGAAGAGAGCUGGUUUACACCUCAUGCCCUGAGCUCCUGGUGUAGGAUCUGGCCACCUGUGAUCCUGAACUGGAGUAAGGAGUUUUCAAUAACCUAUGGACACCGUUGAGGACUCAUUGAAUGUGGCUAUAAGUGUGGUCAAGUAAUGAAAACUGAUCAGCUGAGGGAGGAAAAAGACAAAAGUGGAUGACCAAAAUGAAGAUACCUUUCCCAGGAUUUCUUACUGAC